GAUGAACGCUGGCGGCGUGCUUAACACAUGCAAGUCGAACGGUGAAGCAGGAGCUUGCUCUUGUGGAUCAGUGGCGAACGGGUGAGUAACACGUGAGCAACCUGCCCCUGACUCUGGAAUAAGCGCUGGAAACGGCGUCUAAUACUGGAUAUGUGAUGUGACCGCAUGGUCUGCAUCUGGCAAGAAUUUCGGUUUGUGAUGGGCUCGCGGCCUAUCAGCUUGUUGGUGAGGUAAUGGCUCACCAAGGCUGCGACGGGUAGCCGGCCUGAGAGGGUGACCGGCCACACUGGACCUGAGACACGGCCCAGACUCCUACGGGAGGCAGCAGUGGGGAAUAUUGCACAAUGGGCGGAAGCCUGAUGCAGCAACGCCGCGUGAGGGAUGACGGCCUUCGGGUUGUAAACCUCUUUUAGCAGGGAAGAAGCGAAAGUGACGGUACCUGCAGAAAAAGCACCGGCUAACUACGUGCCAGCAGCCGCCGUAA
rnacentral:rRNA from 1 species